rnacentral:lncRNA from 1 species
GACACACCCCUAUGCGCAACGCCUGGGGAGAGGAGAUGGGGGCGGGGCUACCAGAGAAGUGGAUGGAGACCAGGAACAGGCAUAUCACAGGAGCGGGCCACAUGCUGCGAGAGAUGGAGAAAAACCACCACUGGAUGUGCCGUUUAGGGCCAUGCCAGCCACUGGCGGCGUUAGCAGGUGGAAGACGGAGAGGAUGCGGGCAAGAGAGGAAGGGCGGCUCAUUGCACUGGACCCGCUCAGACACUGGCACUCCAGCUUCCAGGGACUCGGCCCCACCAACAGGCCCCCCUGGCUGGGCUUGCCCAGUGCACUGGGCCAUGCCCCACCACAGCCAAGCCCGCAAUUGUCAGAUGUGGAUUCGGCACUGCCUCCCCCAGGCCCAGCGUGGACCCUCCCACGUUCUGCUCUGCACAGAUGCCGACCAGUCACGUGUGCGCCACAGCUGAAGGCCUCCCCCGUUGGCCUUCGCCAUCUGCUGAGGCCCCAUAAUUAUUCCAAGGCCCGGUGCAGUCUCACUCCGAGGGGAGAGUUCCAACAGCCCUGUAAUGUAACCCAGGCCCUCGGCUGCUCGGCAGGGGGUCCCCAGCUGGGUAAUGAGCCGCCAGCUUAUUGAAUUCCCCGGCUGGGUCUGACUGAUCACUGCCUUAGCCAGGCGGCCCAGGCCCUCUGAGAACCCAUCUGAGCACCCUCGUUAAGGACUCCUUCUCCCCGGCACCCCAAAUCCUGCUCCUCAAAUCCUUCCUCCUCCCCAGAUGUGUUUAAAUGACAAAGAUCAGUGCAAGGAGGCUCCCCGGGGGCUGGCCUCCCCCAUCUAUUCAGGAGAGAGUGUGGCUGCCUCCGGUCUGGGGCCCCAAGCCGGGUGGCUCAGAGGGGCUGCUGGUGGGCCUUUGCUGGGGCUGCCCUAUGCGGAAGCAAGACCUGCAGUUCCCACCCCCGGCCCGUCUCCACCACUUGCUGACUUCCUUCUCCCCUCCCCUUUCUGGCGGCCCAGGCCCCUGGAGGGAGGGCCUUGGCCCAGGACGCUGUGCUGUGGGCCAGGCCUUUCCAAGGAGACGUGUAGGAAGCUGCCUUCUCUGCGCCGUCUUGCAGACUCCUGCUCAGGCGUCAAGACCCACCCCAUGUCACGUCUGCAUCUGCGCAACAGCAAACCCAGGCUUCCCUCCCACCUGCCCAGCUCUUGUAAGACCCCCACAACAGCAUUUACUUGUCCUAUCAUGCUUUUGCCUGCUUGUUUUCUGGCCGACACGGUGCCCUGUCUGUGGGCAAGGACUGCCCUCUAU